rnacentral:rRNA from 1 species
AAAAGCUCGUAGUUGAACCUUGGGCCUGGCUGGCCGGUCCGCCUCACCGCGUGUACUGGUCCGGCCGGGCCUUUCCUUCUGGGGAACCUCAUGCCCUUCACUGGGCGUGUUGGGGAACCAGGACUUUUACUUUGAAAAAAUUAGAGUGUUCAAAGCAGGCCUUUGCUCGAAUACAUUAGCAUGGAAUAAUAGAAUAGGACGUGUGGUUCUAUUUUGUUGGUUUCUAGGACCGCCGUAAUGAUUAAUAGGGAUAGCCGGGGGCAUUUGUAUUCAAUGGCAAGGGGUGAAAUCCUUGGAUUCAUUGAAGACAAACUUCUGCGAAAGCAUUUGCCAAGGAGAUCUUCAUAAAUCAAGAACGAAGGUGAGGAGGUCGAAAACGAGUAGAUACGGUGGUAGUCUUCACAGUAAACUAGGCAGAGGAGGGAGCGAGCG